rnacentral:rRNA from 1 species
AUUGAACGCUGGCGGCAGGCCUAACACAUGCAAGUCGAACGAGUGGGGGAAGGGUGAGUAAUGUCUGGGAAACUGCCUGAUGGAGGGGGAUAACUAACGGAAACGGUAGCUAAUACCGCAUACAAUCAGAUGUGCCCAGAUGGGAUUAGCUUGUGGGUGGGGUAAAGGCUCACCAAGGCGCCGAUCCCUAGCGGGUCUGAGAGGAUGACCAGCCACACUGGAACUGAGACACGGUCCAUACUCCUACGGGAGGCAGCAGUGGGGAAUAUUGCACAAUGGGCGCAAGCCGGAUGCAGCCAUGCCGCGUGUAUGAAGAAGGCCUUCGGGUUGUAAAGUACUUUAAGCGGGGAGGCGUUACCCGCAGAAGAAGCACCGGCUAACUCCGUGCCAGCAGCCGCGGUAAUAC